UACGAGAUCAAUCAUUUUUUUUUAAAUUAUCAGGCUAAUAUUAUGAGUAAAAUGUAUUUUAUUAAUUUAUAUCUAUUGUGUUAAUUGAAUACAAGUAUAAUAAAUGUGGACCACACAGUGUUAUAGGGCUACGUAGACCACUCCAUCAAUACAAAAAUAUGAAAAUCCUAUUACUACGUAACGGAUGACGUUUAUUAUAAUAAAACGAUUCUUAAAAAUAAUUCGUAAAAAAAAACAAUAGAAAAUUUGUUUACACUCUGAGACAUGUCUCAACACACAACGAUCAUUACCAUUUUUUUCUCAAACCCCCUGAAAAAUCAAGAAAAAUGAGACAAAAUUUACUAAAAUAUCUACGACAAACACUGAUAGUUCACUCAGUCUUCUUUUGGUUUAUUCUAAAAAACAAGAAUAAUAAAAUGGUUUUAUAAAAUAGAUAACCCUUGUUGGUCGGGAUUAGAAUAGACCAUCGGUUGUUCCUGCCUGUUGUAAAAAGCGACUGAAAGGGACUUGUAGUAGGGCAGCAGCUACUACAAUAUUAGGUGUAGGUGCAGGUAACCUAGAAUGGUAGAAACAGCUACACACCAAACAGCAGCCAGCAGAUACGGAAACUGUAUAACUGAUGGUUGCACUGCGAUACGGAAAGCAAGGGGAGACCACCGUAUAAAUCAUCCCAAGAAAUGGCAAUAACAUGACAUCUUCUAAAGUGAAAUAUUCCGGAGGUAAAAUAGUCCCCCGAUCGGAUCUCUGGGUGGGGACUACUGGAGAAGAAGGAAAUGUUAAGAAUUGGAGAAGAAUAGCUACUUGGAUGGUUAGAACUAUGUUGCAAUGCGGAAAACUAGAAAACUUGAAAAUAGAAAUGGAAAGAAUGAAGAUUGAUAUCCUUGGCCUAUCAGAAAUGAGAUGGCCAAGAGCUGGAGAUCUAUGGAGUGGGGAAUAUAGGUUGAUACACACAGUUACAGCGGAAAAUAACCCAGGAAUUGGAGGGGUAGGCAUAAUAAUGAGUAAGGCUAUUGGGAAAAAAGUUAAAGGAUUUGUACAGUACAAUGAAAGAAUAAUAUUAGUCAAAAUCGAAACGAAACCUAAGGAUACAAUCAUAGUCCAAGUUUACAUGCCUACUUCUAAUAGCAGUGAGAAGGAAAUGGAAGAAGUCUACGAAGGAAUAGAAAAAACAAAGGAGAUGAAAAUCUUAUCAUUAUGGGUGAUUGGAACGCUGUAGUAGGAAAAGAAAGCCUAGGGCACAUAAUAGGAAAUUAUGGUCUAGGAAACCGAAAUGAAAGAGGAGACAGAUUAAUAGAUUUCUGUUCAAAACACAAAUUAUUAAUAACAAAUACCUACUUCAAUCACCAUCCAAGAAGAAGAUAUACAUGGAAAAUGCCGGGAGACAUAGGUAGAUAUCAAAUAGAUUAUAUUAUGGUCAAGGAGAGAUUUAGAAACCAAGUAAAAGACUGCAGAAGCUACCCAGGAGCAGACAUAGAUAGUGACCAU